rnacentral:rRNA from 1 species
AUUGAACGCUGGCGGCAGGCCUAACACAUGCAAGUCGAGCGGAGCGGCGGACGGGUGAGUAAUGCCUAGGAAUCUGCCUGGUAGUGGGGGAUAACGUCCGGAAACGGGCGCUAAUACCGCAUACUAUCAGAUGAGCCUGGGUCGGAUUAGCUUGUGGGGGGGGGAAUGGCUCACCAAGGCGACGAUCCCUAGCUGGUCUGAGAGGAUGACCAGCCAAACUGGAACUGAGACACGGUACAGAAUCCUACGGGAGGCAGCAGUGGGGAAUAUUGCACAAGGGGCGCAAGCCUGAUGCAGCCAUGCCGCGUGUAUGAAGAAGGCCUUCGGGUUGUAAAGUACUUUCAGCGGGGAGGCGUUACCCGCAGAAGAAGCACCGGCUAACUCCGUGCCAGCAGCCGCGGUAAUAC